GCGGCUGUAGCUCAUCUGGAUAGAGUAUUUGGCUUCGAACCAAAGGGUAGCAGGUUCGACUCCUGCCAGCCGCA
rfam:Turneriella parva DSM 21527, complete genome.